UAGGGAAUCUUCGGCAAUGGACGAAAGUCUGACCGAGCAACGCCGCGUGAGUGAAGAAGGUUUUCGGAUCGUAAAACUCUGUUGUUAGAGAAGAACAAGGACGUUAGUAACUGAACGUCCCCUGACGGUAUCUAACCAGAAAGCCACGGCUAACUACGUGCCAGCAGCCGCGGUAAUACGUAGGUGGCAAGCGUUGUCCGGAUUUAUUGGGCGUAAAGCGAGCGCAGGCGGUUUCUUAAGUCUGAUGUGAAAGCCCCCGGCUCAACCGGGGAGGGUCAUUAGAAACUGGGAGACUUGAGUGCAGAAGAGGAGAGUGGAAUUCCAUGUGUAGCGGUGAAAUGCGUAGAUAUAUGGAGGAACACCAGAGGCGAAGGCGGCUCUCUGAUCUGUAACUGACGCUGAGGCUCGAAAGCGUGGGGAGCAAACAGG
rnacentral:rRNA from 1 species